AGAGAGACAUGCGCGCAUAUCAAUAAGCGGAGGAAAAGAAACUAACUAAGGAUUCCCUCAGUAACGGCGAGUGAAGCGGGAAGAGCUCAAAUUUGAAAUCUUCAAGGUUCUACCUUGACGAAUUGUAGUUUAAAGAAGUGUUUUCUGUUGGAGUUUUGGUAAAAGUUCUUUGGAAUAGGACAUCAUAGAGGGUGAGAAUCCCGUAUUUGGACCAUUACUUUCCAGCUUUGUGAUACACUUUCAAAGAGUCGGAUUGUUUGGGAAUGCAGUCCAAAAUGGGUGGUAAAUUUCAUCUAAAGCUAAAUAUUGGCGAGAGACCGAUAGCGAACAAGUACCGUGAGGGAAAGAUGAAAAGAACUUUGAAAAGAGAGUUAAGCAGUACGUGAAAUUGUCAAAAGGGAAGCGUUUGACACCAGUGUUGUUUUUCUGAAAAUCAAUUAAAGAACUGUUUAUGCUAAGUUGUUUAGACUUUAUCAGCUAACUGUUUAGUUUUGAGCUUUUCUUUAAUGCACUUUUCAGUUAACAAGUCAACAUCAGUUUCUUUUGUUGUAAAAGGGUCAUUGGAAGGUGGCUUUCUUUUCGGAGAAAGUGUUUACAGCCUUUGGCCUCUGCAAUCGGAGAGAUUGAGGUCUGCAGCGUAGAUCCUUCGGGGUUAGAUACAUUUGUGCUAAGUUAUAGCCUUUCAUAGACAACUUGUUGACUAUGAUCAGUCAUGUAGCUUACUCGCUUAUGCUAUUUUACCUACGCUUAGGAUGUUGA
rnacentral:rRNA from 1 species